rnacentral:lncRNA from 1 species
GCUAGUAAGGACAAGAGCGAAGAGGCUGGCCACCAGUGGCGCCAACUUCGCUCGAGCAUUCACAGUUCAGUUUGGCACUUGCAAGUUCCCUGAAAAUUUUACUGGGUGCUAAGAUCUCGCCAAACAGAAGGUUUGAUUUGAUCUAAUGCCCACCAAAAAAAUUCUUUCCUAUUUAUCCUCCGGAUUAGCUUCGAAAUUUAUUUGUGCUAAUUCUACUACUACUUUACGCAGAAAGUGCCAUUUAUAUCUGAAGACUUGGAGUUGGAGUGCUAAGGGAAGGACAAAUACAAGUGCGGUUCGAACAUAUUCUGGAAAUGGUGAAUAUUGUAAAACCUUCAUAACUCCCCUUCCCCAAAAUGUAUUUACAUUUUAAGUUGAGAAUUUUCGUUCUCUUUCUCUGUUUGAUUGAUCAAUCGUAUGUUUAAGUGUCAUUUGAUUCUUCGGAUUUCAUGGAAUCAAGUUGCAUCACAUGGCAUAAUAUUUACUAUAUUAGGCAGGCGUUUUUCGAGAGGAGAAAAUGAAAAAUAGUAACAAAUUGUGAAAUAAUGACAAGAGAAGAAUUCUGUAUAAUUUAUAUAUAUAAUCAGAGUUCCAGAAUCCUGGACUUCUGCUCUACGAUGAACUAAUACAAAAAAUUUCAGAACCGUUCUAAUAAAUAUUGCACCCCAAUAAAAUAGGCAGCAGAAAUGUUACCUGUACAUAUAUUUCAUCUCUCUUUAUCUCUGUAGGGAACAAGAACAG